rnacentral:ncRNA from 1 species
UCUGGCAUUGUGAAGAGACAUGAGAGGUGUAGGAUAAGUGGGAGGCUUCGGCCGCCGGUGAAAUACCACUACUCUUAUCGUUUUUUCACUUACCCGGUGAGGUGGGAGGGCGAGCCUGUAGUGGGCUCUCGGUUCUGGCAUCAAGCGCCCCACCCGUGCGGCCGGUGCCCUGCGGUUCUCUGACCCUCCAGGGUCGAGAGGGGGCCAACCGGUCCUCCGGGGCCGGCCAGG